rnacentral:misc_RNA from 1 species
ACGUCCAUAAAGUAAAAAAGCAGAAUUACUGACGUGGCAGCUCAACGUCAGCAAGAUUAAGAUUAAACUAAUGGCAGAAAAUGACUUUAAGCUCACGUGGCGCAGCGCACUCGUGCAUGAGCGACGGAGUAUCGUGAGCGUAGGUGAAUGUAGAAGGACAAGCGUGUUUAAAAAAGAGUGAAAACGACGACGCUUUGCAAGUCUGUGGGCUAUUGUAAUGUCCUCUACAGCAGAGCGCGUCGUUGUUGAAGGCUUCGCAGCCGCUCUUACAGGCUAUGACUUGGCCGUAGCGGUGCGGAGCGUGGACUUGGAGCUCGCGUGGGCAAGUCUGGAGGAG